rnacentral:rRNA from 1 species
UACGUAGGUGGCAAGCGUUUGUCCGGAUUUACUGGGCGUAAAGAGCGCGCAGGCGGUCGUUCAAGUCGCGUGUGAAAGCCCCCGGCUCAACUGGGGAGGGUCACGCGAUACUGAUCGACUCGAAGGCAGGAGAGGGUAGUGGAAUUCCCGGUGUAGUGGUGAAAUGCGUAGAUAUCGGGAGGAACACCGGUGGCGAAGGCGGCGACCUGGGUGAGAUACUGACGCUGAGGUGCGAAAGCUAGGGGAGCAAACGGG